AAAAAAAAAAAAACUCAUUGACCUAUAAACGUACACACAAAUUUCUCAUCGACCCACGAUCCAUUUCGGAUCCAAAACCCAAAAACAAGCCCUGAUACGCAGUAAACAGGAGAAAUAUCAACUGGAUCCAAAUGAACCAAAACCUAUAUGUUGACACAAACAUGAAUAUACAUGUGUGAAAUUACCUUCUUGUACUUCUUCGCCGGCGG
rnacentral:misc_RNA from 1 species